UACGAAGGGGGCUAGCGUUGCUCGGAAUUACUGGGCGUAAAGCGCACGUAGGCGGAUUGUUAAGUCGGGGGUGAAAUCCUGGAGCUCAACUCCAGAACUGCCUUCGAUACUGGCGAUCUCGAGUUCGGGAGAGGUGAGUGGAACUGCGAGUGUAGAGGUGAAAUUCGUAGAUAUUCGCAAGAACACCAGUGGCGAAGGCGGCUCACUGGCCCGAUACUGACGCUGAGGUGCGAAAGCGUGGGGAGCAGACAGG
rnacentral:rRNA from 1 species